AGCAGCCGCGGUAAUUCCAGCUCCAAUAGCGUAUAUUAAAGUUGCCGCAGUUAAAAGCUCGUAGUUGAAUUUCGGGAUCAUCAUGUCGGUCGUGCCUCGGUACGUACUGGCAUUGUUGGUUUCUACCUUCUGACGAACCAUGAUGUCAUUUAUUUGGUGUCGUGGGAAAUCAGGACUGUUACUUUGAAAAAUUGAGUGUUUAAAGCAGGCUCACGCUUGAGUACAUUAGCAUGGAAUAAUGAAAUAGGACGUUUGAUUCUAUUUUGUUGGUUUCUAGGAUCGACGUAAUGAUUAAUAGGGAUAGUUGGGGGCAUUAGUAUUCAAUUGUCAGAGGUGAAAUUCUUGGAUUUAUUGAAGACUAACUACUGCGAAAGCAUUUGCCAAGGAUGUUUCAUUAAUCAAGAACGAAAGUUAGGGAUCGAAGACGAUCAGAUACCGUCGUAG
rnacentral:misc_RNA from 1 species